AGUGAAGGCCGGGUUCCAGAGAAGAACUGAGAUCCUCAGGACAAACCAAGAUAAGGUUUCCCCAGCCUCUGGGUCUCACUCCGUGCUACAGGACAUGGGCUUUGCUUCUAUCUCAGAGAAAGGUAAAGUGGGGAGAGAGGGAGCCACCUGCCGGUGCUGGCCCCACCUUCCUCCCUUGUCCCCCUUUCUAUAGCUCUGUCUACGCCAGCCCCCAUGCUGGCAGAAGACUCCAUCCCAUUCACCUGCUCAAGCCCAGGAGGCCUGCACCUCUUCCAUGUCUUCAUGUCAGCCCCAAAAGUUGGUUUGCUAUUGCCCCACCCCCUUCCUCACACUUAAAAAACAAACACCUUCCCUUGAACCUAUGCUUGUGUGCACCCCACCCACUUUUCUCUUGGGAGCAAAUAUCCUGGUUUCCUGGUCUAAAACAUGCAGUUCUUCUCCACACAUCUCUCCUGUGUCUUCGCUCUCUGACCAUCCAGCCUAAACCUCCUAACUGUCAGUCAGAUGGGUCGCAGCUCGACGGAAGACCAUUACUGCUCCACACUCUAGAGUCUCACACCCGGCCUGCAGGACAGC
rnacentral:lncRNA from 1 species